GAGCAAAGUUAUAAAUAGGCCGAACAUCACAGCUUAUAUUUCACUAACCUUUGUCUCGGUGUGGGUUUGGGGCGGCGACGUCCUUCUGUUAUUGUCUCCUGGUUCUGGUUCUGGUUCUGUCUCUUCCCCGGUCCUCAUCUGGUACUCCAAUGUUGCCGGAUGUGUAUAUAAUUAUUUCAAAAGUUUAUUGUAAAUAAAUAAAAAAUAUUGUUAUAUUUAUUGGUGGCAGUCAAGGCUGUUGUUGUCCUUCAAUAGCAUGAUAACGAGUUAGUCCCAACGGGUCCCUUCCAGUCCUCUGUCAGUCAAAGCCUGGACAUGUAAUGUUCCCAGUCUGUCUCUUUCUGUCUCCUGUUCUUCUCAUGGACCUGAGAGGAGGGGUAGUUCUGUUCUCAUGGACCUGAGAGGAGGGGUAGUUCAGUUCUUCUCAUGGACCUGAGAGGAGGGGUAGUUCUGUUCUUCUCAUGGACCUGAGAGGAGGGGUAGUUCAGUUAUUCUCAUGGACCUGAGAGGAGGGGGGUAGUUCUGUUCUUCUCAUGGACCUGAGAGGAGGAGUAGUUCUGUUCUCAUGGACCUGAGAGGAGGGGUAGUUCUGUUCUCAUGGACCUGAGAGGAGGGGUAGUUCUGUUCUCAUGGACCUGAGAGGAGGGGUAGUUCUGUUCUCAUGGACCUGAGAGGAGGGGUAGUUCUGUUC
rnacentral:lncRNA from 1 species